AGCGCAGGCGGGCUUUCAAGUCGGUGGUGAAAUCUUACAGCUUAACUGUAAAACUGCCUCCGAUACUGUGAGUCUUGAGUGUGGAAGAGGGCGAUGGAAUUCAUGGUGUAGCGGUGAAAUGCGUAGAUAUCAUGAAGAACACCGGUCGCGAAGGCGGUCGCCUGGUCCAUUACUGACGCUCAUGCUCGAAAGUGUGGGGAGCAAACAGGAUUAGAUACCCUGGUAGUCCACACCUUAAACGAUGAAUACUUGGUGUCGGGCCGUAAGGUUCGGUGCCAAGGCUAACGCAUUAAGUAUUCCACCUGGGGAGUACGAUCGCAAGGUUGAA
rnacentral:rRNA from 1 species